ensembl:lncRNA
CAGUAGCGCAGAAGGGUCCAUAAACCCAGCGGUCUCCACUCAAGUUUCCAUCUGCUAAAUUCUAGUCUGGUUAAAUAAGAGGCGGAAACUUUUUCCAGCAGAGACCACUAUAACUACUGUACUGAGAUCAGUGGGACAGCUAGACGUGAGAAUUGGCUUCAACAUCCAUGACCUUCAGAGAGAAACAGAGAGCUGAAUGUGCAUACAGUAACUGCUCUACAAAUCAGGAAAUUAUGUAUUAAAAGGUUUCUGUUUCCUCGUGUCUCAGAGAACCAGAGGACAAGCUCUGCCCUGUCAAACUCAAUCUGCUCCAUCUCCUUGAGUCUGGGACAAUAA